GCUGGGUGUGGUGGCGCGUGCCUGUAGUUCCAGCUACUCAGAAGGCUGAGGUGGGAGAAUCUCCUGAGCCCAGGAAUUUGAGGCUGCAGUGAGCUGUGACUGUGCCACUGCAUUCCAGCCUGGGCAACAGUGUGAGACCCUGUCUCAA
rnacentral:SRP_RNA from 1 species